GACGAACGCUGGCGGCGUGCUUAACACAUGCAAGUCGAACGGAAAGGCCUGCUUUCCCUUGUGGAUUGCGGGUACUCGAGUGGCGAACGGGUGAGUAACACGUGAGUGAUCUGCCCCCAACUUGGGUAUAAGCCUGGGAAACUGGGUCUAAUUCCCGAUAGGACUGCAGGGUGGUGCCUGUGGUGGAAAACGAUUUUCUAGUGGUUGGGGAUGAGCUCGCGGCCUAUCAGCUUGUUGGUGGGGUAAUGGCCUACCAAGGCGGCGACGGGUAGCCGGCCUGGGAGGGUGGGCGGCCACAUUGGGACUGGGGUACGGCCCCGACUCCUACGGGAGGCAGCAGUGGGGAAUAUUGCACAAUGGGCGGAAGCCUGAUGCAGCGACGCCGCGUGGGGGAUGACGGCCUUCGGGUUGUAAACUCCUUUCGACCGCGAGGAAGCCACCUGGUUGGAAGGGUGGUGACGGUAGUGGUAGAAGAAGCACCGGCUAACUACGUG
rnacentral:rRNA from 1 species